CCUACGGGUGGCACCAGUGGGGAAUAUUGCACAAUGGGCGCAAGCCUGAUGCGGCCAUGCCGCGUGUAUGAAGAAGGCCUUCGGGUUGUAGAGUACUUUCAGCGGGGAGGAAGGCGAUAAGGUUAAUAACCUUGUCGAUUGACGUUACCCGCAGAAGAAGCACUGGCUAACUCCGUGCCAGCAGCCGCGGUAAUACGGAGGGUGCAAGCGUUAAUCGGAAUUACUGGGCGUAAAGCGCACGCAGGCGGUCUGUCAAGUCGGAUGUGAAAUCCCCGGGCUCAACCUGGGAACUGCAUUCGAAACUGGCAGGCUAGAGUCUUGUAGAGGGGGGUAGAAUUCCAGGUGUAGCGGUGAAACGCGUAGAGAUCUGGAGGAAUACCGGUGGCGAAGGCGGCCCCUGGACAAAGACUGAGGCUCAGGUGCGAAAGCGUGGGGAGCAAACAGGAUUAGAUACCCGUGUAGUC
rnacentral:rRNA from 1 species